rnacentral:misc_RNA from 1 species
GAAAUGCGAUAAGUAAUGUGAAUUGCAGAAUUCAGUGAAUCAUCGAAUCUUUGAACGCACCUUGCGCUCCUUGGUAUUCCGAGGAGCAUGCCUGUUUGAGUGUCAUUAAAUUCUCAACCUUCCAGCUUUUAUAAGCUUGGUUAGGCUUGGAUGUGGGAGUUGCGGGCUUCAUCAAUGAGGUCGGCUUUCCUUAAAUGCAUUAGCGGAACUUUUGUGGACCGUCUAUUGGUGUGAUAAUUAUCUACGCCGUGGAUGUGAAACAGCUUUAUGAAGUUCAGCUUCGAACCGUCCAUUCACUUGGACAAUUUUGACAAUUUGACCUCAAAUCAGGUAGGACUACCCGCUGAACUUAAGC